UCCCUGGUGACUCAGAUGGUAUAGAAUCUGCCUGCAAUGCAGAAAAUCCAGGUUUGAUCCCUGGGUUGGGAA
rnacentral:tRNA from 1 species